UAUUAUUAUUAUUAUUAUUAUUUUGUUGCUAAAUCGAGAUUUUAUAAGCUUUUAUAGUGUCAGUAUUAUGCUGGGAGUUGUUGAAUCUGUUGUGGUUUCUGUUGGUCCAGAUAUUCCAGAGGAGGUAAGGAAGUAGAGUGGCAAUGGAAAUUUGAAUGUUAAUGGGCAGAAGUAUAUUUGUGUCGGGUUUGUUCACGGCAGUGCAGCCUGGAAUAAAACAAAUACUGCCCUGUUAAGGCAACAAAAUAAAUCAUUGGUCCUGCAAUCAUGGAUGCUACCUUCUAUUGACGUUGAGGUGAUUAUUUGUAUAUAUUUCAAUAGUUCAGGUAAAGAAUCCAAAAUAUAUUCUUCUUUCUUAAAAGCUACAUUACUACAACUAAAAUAAAGCAAUGUAAACUUAUUUUCUACUGUAUAAUUUACAAGCGGCUCUACCUUACAGAAUCGUCCUUUGUCUUUUCAAAGAAAUAUAGCGUCCAUAAUGCUUUAUUGAGCAGGCAAAUGGAAAGCAAACCAUCACGUACCAUCCAAAUCUAUUUGUUAGUUCCAGCUUAGCUUUAGUUUUGUUAAAUUUGUAGAUGCAAGUAUGAAUAAAGUAAGUUGCUUUUCGUCCAAUACUACUCAAGUUUUCUCAUAGUUGUGAUGGACACUCUUAUACAUUUGAGAAGUGAUAAUUUCAGGAGGUAAAACAAAUUAAGAGUAUUACGAUUUGAGAGAAUCAAAGAAAAGAUUCCUUGAAAACUUCCUAAAUAAAAUAUCCUAUUAUCUGUUUCGGAUUCUUAGUUUAUCAAGAGACAAGAGUGAUACUAUUAGGCUAAGUUGGUUUGAUGUUUCAUUCUAUUUGUGCUACUCAUAUGGAGAUGCCUUGCCGGAUUCCUUAAUUGAUUAAUGUAGUUUAGAACUGCCAUAAAGACUAACAGACAAGGUCUUAAAAUGCAGAUGAAACUUGUGUCAACUUGCAAGCAUUGGAGUUGGAUAUGUGUGAACCAUAAAGACUCACUACAAAGUCUUGAAAACUGAACAGAUUACGUAGAUAAGUGAGAAAUAAUUAAUACAUCCAUUCAAAUAAAGAUUUAGAAGUUCAAAAGAUCGGUUGAUUGAUGACCGGUCUAAUGGGUCUGAGUUCAAACUUACUCUGAUUCCAUGUUGAAAAUGAGAGUUGAAUCCAAAACUUUAAAAGAUUUCAAGCAAAAAAUUGUUUCUUUUUUUUUUUCUUUUUUUUUUUUGGUUCAAUAUUUCUGCAAUACUUGCUAAUUAUUUUAAUGCAAGUACAAAGGUAGAUCUUUAGAGUCGAGAACUUAGUUUUAAAUCAAACCUAAUAUGUGAUGUGUUAGUAGUUAAUACCAUGUAUAUGGAGAUGAGCAUAUAUGGGAGGAGAAAUUGCUUGA